GAAGGUCCCAAGCGUUAUCCGGAUUUAUUGGGUUUAAAGGGUGCGUAGGCGGGCUAUUAAGUCAGUGGUGAAAGCCCCAAGCUUAACUUGGGAACUGCCAUUGAUACCAAUGGUCUUGAGUACAUUUGAGGUGGGCGGAAUGUGUCAUGUAGCGGUGAAAUGCUUAGAUAUGACACAGAACACCGAUUGCGAAGGCAGCUCACUAAACUGUAACUGACGCUGAGGCGCGAAAGCGUGGGGAGCAAACAGGAUUAGAUACCCUGGUAGUCCACGCCCUAAACGAUGAUCACUCGAUGUGUGCGAUAUACUGUACGCGUCUGAGCGAAAGCAUUAAGUGAUCCACCUGGGGAGUACGACCGCAA
rnacentral:rRNA from 1 species